AAAAACUACAGGGAACAGCUCCCCAGGAAUGAAACACAGUGCUGUUCUGUGACCUCCACAUACCUGCACGCACAUACUGCCACAUGACUAUGAGCAUAUGUACAUGCAUGUACAUACAUGCAUGCAUAUAAAAUAAAUAAAUAAAUACACAAUUAUACAAAAAAUAAAGCUCAAGUGGAUCUUUUAGAAUUAAUUUGGAAUGGGUAAGGCCAUUACAACCAUAGGCCUAAAGCAAAAGACAAAAGGUUUUCUUUAAUUUGUUUAUGUGUAAAUUUGUAACUGUGGCAGCAACAUCGUAAAUAGAAUGAGAAGAUAACCUUCAGGGCAACACAUUUGUAGAACAUCAGGCGGAUUUAUUUCUGUAACACACAAAUGACUUGACUAAAGCAAUUUCAAAACUGCGCUCAAUGGGAAACUGUAGACACAAAGUAGCAAGUGAAAGGAAUUGCAAGUAUCCAAUUCAUCUGUAGACAGAACCUCUCAGAACUGAGGAAAUACCAGAAUUCAUGGGAAAAGGAACCAUUUUCUACUGAAGAGGCAGGUAGCUGGAAAAAAUAGCAAGACAAAGUUAUGCACUCAAUAGGAACCUUCAAAUUGUUCAUAGGAGCUGGUUAUACUUUUGGACAGCAUUCGGGUCAGCAUCCGUCAUCGUUAAAUAUUCUUGUCCUUUAUUCCAGCAACUCUACUUCUCAUGUAUCAUGAAUGUGAAUGAAGGUUGAAAAACAAAGGUCAAAGCAUAUUUGCUUGUAUGAUUGGAAAUAUACAGGCAAUGUAAUGAUUACUCAGUAGGUACGAAUUACUUGUUUUUUUUAACUUGCAGCCAUUUUAAUGUAAUUAUUUUUUAAAAUGUAGGGAUAAUAUUCAGCUCUAUGAAAUAACAUUAGAAACUGUACCAGAAUGAGUUAUCAGUGAUAAGCUCAAGUUACAGGAGGGGUAGAUGCAGAGGCUCUGUAUAAAAAAAGGACAUGGAAGAGAUACAGGCACAAAGCAUCUCUGACAACUUCCUAGGCAGGUGGCACCUCGGGUAGGUUGACUCUUUCUCAUGUCUCCCUAUCGACUCUUGUGCCUUUAAGCCAUGAGUACAUUUUAUGAGUUAGAGAACUUGAAGGAAAAGCAUGCAGAGGUGUGGACCAUGCAGGGGAGCUGUGCCGAGCACUGGUCAAGAGCCAACUUUAGUGCUCUCCAUACCCGAAAGCCCUCUGACUGUGUACGUCUCCAAAAGAGUCGUGAAGAGGCUUCUCAAAACGCUAGCCGGGGUGCGCUAGAAAAUUAGCAUGAAGUCUACUGACACACUUAACAGGCUCAGAGACACUGGGGUUGAGGGUGAGACACAAGAUAUGAGUUUCCUGUUGCAGUCAAGCCAUAGCAAGUGACUAUACGUUGAAGGUAAAGCAGUUAGCUGGCAGUGUUCCUCCAUGGUGGAGUGCACACCUAACAUGUGCUAAGGCACUGGGUCCCACCCUCAGCACUGCAUGAACAGGUCAGAGGUAUUUUUUGCUGCACGUGGCCAUACAAAACCCAUAAUCCCAGCACUUGGCAGGUGGAUCUGGAGUUUACGGAUAGUCUCGACUACAUAAAGAGUUCUCGACAGUUGGGCUACUUUAGUGCCACUCCCACCAAACACACACUCACACACACACACACACACCAUAACACACAUACUCUCUCUCACACACACAAUACACAUAUUCACACACACACACAUUCACACACCUGCCAAAUCUCUUUCAUUAUCUCACAGCCCUAUCUGCAAUAUGAACUGAUUCUCAUAGCAGUAUAUUUUCCGAUGUAAACAUAAGAUUUCGAUAGCUAGAAACCGACUCUGAAUGAACAGUGUGUUCCAUGUGCACAAUGUGGAAUACCAUCCAGCCUUAGAAUGGAAGGUGUCUUAAAAACGGGUGAACCAUGAGCAUGUCCAGCUAGUAAAAUAAGACAGUCAUGGAAAGAUAAACAUUGCACAACUCCUCCUAUGAAAUACGCAGAGGACUGUGGCUUCCUGGAGCACAGGAGGGCCAGAGCGUGUUAUGGUUAAGACCGCAUAGAACUUGUGUUCUGCAGUAUGAAAAGGUUCUGGUAAUUGCUUCAGAACAACGGGAAUAGUCUCACUACUACUGAACGAUGCAUUUUAGAUGGGUUGAGAUUUACC
rnacentral:lncRNA from 1 species